rnacentral:lncRNA from 1 species
GCCCCCUCCCUCAGUAGGGAAGGUUUGGGGGCGUUCGGAGGGCUCCGUGCUGAUGACUCAGAGCCUGGAGGCUGCUUUGGAUUCUGUGUCUCCCUCUUUCUCUGACACUCCCAUGCUCACGCUCUCUCUCUCUCUUUCUUUCAAAAAUAACCAUUAAAAAAAUGACUAUACAAUGAAAUAAUACAUGGCCAUUGAAAAGAGCGAGGUAAACCAAUCCAGUUAAUGUUAGAAACUUCUAAAACAUACUGUUAAGAAAAGGAAGAUGCAGAUCAGUUUAUGUAAUAUCUUAUUUUGUAAAAAAAAAAAAAAAACAAAAAACCCUCAAAAAUUUCUAUAUCUGUAUGUAAAUAUACUUAUUUAUAAAUGUAUAAAAAUGUAAACAUUUAUUUUUAUUGUAUUAUAUUAAUAUAUUAUGAAUAUAUAUAUAAACUUUUAAAAGGAUAUGUGCUAGUUUGUCAAAUGUGUUUGGGGGUGGGGAGUAGAGGAGAGGAGGCUAGUUAAACAAAAAGAGGUCUUUAUUUAAAAACCGUAUAUGUGACUUAUUAUUCCAUUCAGGUAAAAUCAUACAAAUACGAGUAUGUGCUUAUGACAGAUGAAAGAGGGACAGUCACCAGUAUGCUAAUGAUCAUCAUCUCUGGAAUGUGGGAUUUCAGUCCUCAAUCGGUGCCUCCAAACCAAAAUGUUCACCUAUAUCUCAGUCAAGAUGGAACUCUGCCUUAAUAAAUUAAUGAUUACUCAAGAAUAGAGGACAUGUUUUACUUUUCAAAAAAAAAAAUCUUCUAGUGAAUGAAAUGUAAUCUAUACCAAUUUUAGCCAAAUCACCAGGAUUUUCAGCAGAUCUAUACUUCUGUGGCCCUUAGAUAACGGCCAAUAGAUAUGUUAUGCAAGAGACUCAUCUUGUUGAUGAUCUCAUCACUGUGUCUGUGACUUUCAAACCAGAGAUUCUGCUGUGGGACUCCUCUCUCGACAAGGUUCCAAGGACAAUAGCAAAUCUACCACAAUAUAACCACAGAAUCAUGAAAUCUUUGCAUUGGAAAGACCUCUACCUAAAUAGAAAUUAUUACUUCAUUCUUUGGACUUUAAUGUACCCCAUGUAGCUUUCUCUUAUGGUUAUUAAAAGGAUAAUAUGCCUACUUAUAUUGGUCUACAGAUUCCUUAAGACCAGAAAUUAUUCUUUACUCCUCUUUGUCUCCCUAAUGCUUAAAAUAGGGCCUAGGGUAGCACGAAUAGCUGAAUUGAUAGAUGGAUAGAAAAAAGAAAAAAAUACUAUAUUGCAAUAAUGGAUAUUUGUUGGACCAUCUCCAGUAUCUACUCCCUCCCUUCCUUUCCAACAGUCCCAAUUUCUGUUUGAAGAUUCAAGUCAUUUCAGAGAGCCUCUUAUUAUCUCCAACUCCAGGAGUAGAAUAUGUAAUCUAGGUUAAACCAAUUAGCACAUUCCAUCCAUCUAACAAGUUUUUGGCUCUGCCUUGAGCACAUGACCUAACUAAAGAUUUUCAUUCAGAGUGAAUCUCAGAAUUAUUUCUGGGAAGGAAGAGACAAAGAUGCCUUUUGCUGGAUGCAAAUGUGGAGGCAUGCAGCCCUGGAGCUGAUGGCAGCCACCUCAGGAGCAUGAGGGCAAGUCUUAGAAUAGAACCAACAUUAAGAAAGGUAUAUAGAAGAGACAGAAAGAAACUGGAAGCCUCAUUUGAACCUAAUCUUAUCUCUGGACUUUUCAGCUACAAAAAAAAAGAAACAAAGAGGAAAGAAAAUUCCCUUAUUUUUCAUGUUAGCUUAGGUCAGAUUUUCUGUUUCUUACAACACAAAGCAUCCUGAUUCAAUUGUAAAUAAUGCCAUUGAACAGAUGUGAGCUGAACAAGCACUAUGUACUUCAGAAAUAUUGGCAAGCCCUAAUGCAAACCAUUCCACAAACAAACCACAAACCAAAAGUGAUGAACACUCCUAAUUUCUAUUUCCCACUGAAAGAAAUCAAGACUUCCUGAAGAAAUAGUUAAUUCCAGGUCUUGUGUAGGAAAGGUACAAGUUGAGACUGGGAUAUCUAGUUAUGUCAAAAGGCAAGAAAGUUCUCAGAAGCUACUAUGCUAAGCCGAUUUGAAAAGGUUCCUAUUCUGGGGAGCCUGGGUGGCGCAGUCGGUUAAGCGUCCGACUUCAGCCAGGUCACGAUCUCGCGGUCCGGGAGUUCCAGCCCCGUGUCAGGCUCUGGGCUGAUGGCUCAGAGCCUGGAGCCUGUUUCCGAUUCUGUGUCUCUCUCUCUCUCUGCCCCUCCCCCGUUCAUGCUCUGUCUCUCUCAGUCCCAAAAAUAAAUAAACGUUGAAAAAAAAAAUUAAAAAAAAA